UUUUUUUUUUUUUUUUUUUUGAGACAGGGUUUCUCUGUGUAACCCUGGCUGUCCUGGAACUCACUUUGUAGACCAGUCUGGCCUUGAAUUCAGAAAUCCGCCUGCCUCUGCUUCCCAACUGCUGGGAUCAGAGGUGUGUGACACCACCGCUCGGCCUCGCCCUUAAUUUUUAAUAUUUUUAAAGCAUUUUUCUUUAUUAUUUUAUGCAUAUGAGCGUUUUGUUUAUAUGUAAUUUUACACCACAUGUGUGCCUAGUACUCAAGAGAUUCUAAGAGGGCAUCCCAUCUCCUGGAUUGGAGUUAGAGACGUUGUGAGCUACCAUGUGGGAGCUGGGAUCCCAGCUCUGGUUCUCUGCAAGAACAAGUGCUCUUAACCCUUGGGCCAGUGGUCUGCCUCUAGGAUCCUUCUCUUCUUAGUAUCUUACCUUUUUUUUUUUUUGCAGUGCUGGGGAUGAAACCCAGGCCUUACUCCAAUGAGCCAAUAUUCCACCACCGAAUAGUAUGUUCCCUUUCAUUUAAUAACUGUUUAAACAAUUUUAAAAAUACUUAAACAAAACAUUUUAUUUAUUUUGUGAGUAUUGUCAUGGUGCAGGUAUGGAAGUUAGAUAACCACUUGUGGGAAUCUCUCUUCUCCUUCUACCAUAUAAGUCCUGGGUAUCAAUCUUAAGUUGUCAGCCCCAGCAUCAGGCUUUUUUCCCCUCUGAUCUGUCUCUCCAGCCCUUCAAUACCUUUUAAUAUAGAAAAUGGCUAAAUUACCAGGUUAAUAUACUAUAUAUCACUAUAGCAAUCUCAUGUGUGAACUAGAAAAGCCCCACAGAGCUGUCUCUGGGUAGAUGCUUGCUGCACAAGCUCAGGUCCUGACUUCAGGUCUCCAGCAUCCAUGUGAAAGCCAGGUGUGGUUGGCUAUCCCAGCACUGGAGUACUUAGAGGCAGUGGCUCUCUGGGAAUCUGUGGCCAGGCAUUCCUACCCAGAGUAGAAGUACCAGGUUAAAAGAGAGUUGCUGUCUCAAAAAACAAGAAGGCCUGGUGGAACACACAACAGGUAAAAGCUCUUGUUGCCCAAGCCUGGCAUCCUAUUGGAUUCCCUAAACCCAUGUAAAGAUGGAAGUUAGAGGACUACACCAAGUUGCCUUGUGCUCUCCACAUACAUGCUGUGGUACGUGCAACCAUGCCUCAGCCCGUGUGGUAACCUGUAAGGUAGAGAGCAAUAGAAGAAGAUAGUGGACAUCAGCCUUGGUCUUCCAUUUGCGCAGGAAAGGGCUUGUGCCCUGCACAGACAUGCACACACAUAAAUGAAAGGUAGGAGUCUCUGCAUGCGCUUUUAAUCCUAGCACUCUGGAGGCUGAGGCAGCUGUAUCUGAGUUCAAGGCCAGUCUGGUGCAUAUAGUGAGUUGGUUCCAAGACAGCCAGGACUACCUAGAGAGACCCUGUCUCAGACAAAACAAAACAAAACAAGAAAUAUUACAAGUAUUGGUGAAUAUAGUAGAAACGCCUCUACUAGAAAGAUUUGUACUGGGAUCAUGAUAGUGGCUUCUUGGAAGGGAGAGCCCAUGAGAAGAAGGGUCACUGCAAAGGAGCUAACUCCCUUCUACUUGCUACGAUUUAUCCAUUUUGGUAUUAAAAUUGUACAGAAAUCAGACAAUGCUAGUGAUAUUCUCAUCAUGCAGAAUGUAAAUAUCAUUACACUGCGUUUUCUUUUUUCCAAGUAAAAAAACCAGCAAUGCAUGUGAGCAGGUAUUUUCUUACUGAAAAUGGGGCAAUUAAGCCACCAGGCAUGUGGCGCCCUGGUAAGUCUUAGCUUGUCAUCCUUAGCUAUAUAUGUAUUUUAAGACCAGCCUGGGUUACAAAGACUUCAUU
rnacentral:lncRNA from 1 species